rnacentral:rRNA from 1 species
GACGAACGCUGGCGGCGUGCUUAACACAUGCAAGUCGAACGGAAAGGCCCUGCUUUUGUGGGGUGCUCGAGUGGCGAACGGGUGAGUAACACGUGAGUAACCUGCCCUUGACUUUGGGAUAACUUCAGGAAACUGGGGCUAAUACCGGAUAGGAGCUCCUGCGGCAUGGUGGGGGCUGGAAAGUUUCGGCGGUUGGGGAUGGACUCGCGGCUUAUCAGCUUGUUGGUGGGGUAGUGGCUUACCAAGGCUUUGACGGGUAGCCGGCCUGAGAGGGUGACCGGCCACAUUGGGACUGAGAUACGGCCCAGACGCCUACGGGAGGCAGCAGUGGGGAAUAUUGCACAAUGGGCGGAAGCCUGAUGCAGCAACGCCGCGUGCGGGAUGACGGCCUUCGGGUUGUAAACCGCUUUCGCCUGUGACGAAGCGUGAGUGACGGUAAUGGGUAAAGAAGCACCGGCUAACUACGUG